AUAGGGUACUCUGGAGAGUCUCCAUUUAUUAGGAGCGCCGAAGGUGUAAGACAGAUUCAAGUCCAUGGUAUCUGUCGAUCUCUCAGGCAAAAGGACAGGGCAUACAUA
rfam:Clostridium symbiosum WAL-14163 genomic scaffold supercont1.2, whole genome shotgun sequence.